UCUCAGUGUCGAAGCGAAGGUGAUAAGUCCACUGCCUGGGGAGUACGGUCGCAAGGCUGAAACUUAAAGGAAUUGGCGGGGGAGCACUGCAACCUGAGGAUUGUGCGGUUUAAUUGGAUUCAACGCCGGAAAACUCACCAUGGCCGACGGACAAAUGAAAGCCAGUGUAACGAGCUUGCUGGAUUGUUCGAGAGGUAUUGCAUGGCCGUCGUCAGUUCGUACCGCAAGGCGUUCUGUUAAGUCAGAUAACGAACGAGACCCUCAUCCCUAUUUGCCAGCUGCGUCCCCGGACGCAACGCACUAUAGGGAGACCGCUGUCGAUAAGGCAGAUGAAGGCGAGGGCAACGGUAGGUCAGUAUGAUCCGAAUGCCAUGGGCUACACGCGCAAUACAAAGGACGGGACAAUGGGCUGCAACUCCGAGAGGAAAGACGCUAUCCCGAAACCCGUUCGUAGUUCGGAUUGAGGGCUGUAACUCGCCCUCAUGAAGCUGGAUUAGGUAGUAAUCGCGUCUCAAUAGGGCGCGGUGAAUAUGCCCCUGCUCCUUGCACACACCGCCCGUCAAACCAUCUUAGUUGGGGGUGGGUGAGGCUGCCUUAACCAUGGGGUAUUCGAGCCUGCCUUCGACAAGGAGGGUUAAGUCGUAACAAGGUAUCUGUAGGGGAACCUGCAGAUG
rnacentral:rRNA from 1 species